rnacentral:lncRNA from 1 species
CCGAUCAGCGGUUCACUGAGUUGUUUAGCAGGUUCGACAACUUAGACUUACGUCAGCGAUCACCAGGCCCAAGAACAAGAGGCGGAAGGCAACCUUAACUUUUCUUUUUCCUUUCUUUUUUGUAUUUCAUUUCUUUUCCUUCAAACAUUGAGGACAAUGUUUUAUUCAAGUAUGGGGGGGAAAACCAUGUUCUUUCUAUCCUCCAUUUUCC